AGAGUUUGGAUCAUGGCUCAGGAUGAACGCUGGCGGCGUGCUUAACACAUGCAAGUCGAACGGUGAACACGGAGCUUGCUCUGUGGGAUCAGUGGCGAACGGGUGAGUAACACGUGAGCAACCUGCCCCUGACUCUGGGAUAAGCGCUGGAAACGGCGUCUAAUACUGGAUAUGUGACGUGAUCGCAUGGUCUGCGUCUGGAAAGAAUUUCGGUUGGGGAUGGGCUCGCGGCCUAUCAGCUUGUUGGUGAGGUAAUGGCUCACCAAGGCGUCGACGGGUAGCCGGCCUGAGAGGGUGACCGGCCACACUGGGACUGAGACACGGCCCAGACUCCUACGGGAGGCAGCAGUGGGGAAUAUUGCACAAUGGGCGCAAGCCUGAUGCAGCAACGCCGCGUGAGGGAUGANGGCCUUCGGGUUGUAAACCUCUUUUAGCAGGGAAGAAGCGAAAGUGACGACCUC
rnacentral:rRNA from 1 species